rnacentral:rRNA from 1 species
AUCCUGGCUGAGAUUGAACGCUGGCGGCAUGCCUUACACAUGCAAGUCGAACGGCAGCACGGACUUCGGUCUGGUGGCGAGUGGCGAACGGGUGAGUAAUGCAUCGGAACGUGCCAUUGAGUGGGGAUAACGUAGCGAAAGUUGCGCUAAUACCGCAUAUUCUGUGAGCAGGAAAGCAGGGGACCGCAAGGCCUUGCGCUCUUUGAGCGGCCGAUGUCAGAUUAGCUAGUUGGUGAGGUAAAGGCUUACCAAGGCGACGAUCUGUAGCGGGUCUGAGAGGAUGAUCCGCCACACUGGAACUGAGACACGGUCCAGACUCCUACGGGAGGCAGCAGUGGGGAAUUUUGGACAAUGGGGGCAACCCUGAUCCAGCCAUGCCGCGUGAGUGAAGAAGGCCUUCGGGUUGUAAAGCUCUUUCGGCCGGGAAGAAAUCGCAUGGGCCAAUACCCUGUGUGGAUGACGGUACCGGAAUAAGAAGCACCGGCUAACUACGUG